rnacentral:lncRNA from 1 species
UUUAUUUUUAUUUUUCCUUUUAGAGUAUGAUUAUUAUAUUUCUGUGAGUAUAAAUUUUUUUAUAUUUAUAAAUUAUUUUCGAUGAUAGAUCUAUACUGUUAAAUAUGAUAUAAAGUGUUUAAAAGUUUUAAAAAAUAGAUUUUGUAAUUUUUAAAAAUUAUAAUAAGUUUUAUAAAGUGGGUGUAAAAUAAACGAUUAAAAUCAAUCGACUUAGAAUAUUUUAAAUUAAAAUCAGAGUUAUUGAUUUUUUAUCUAUUUGAUACUUU